rnacentral:tRNA from 1 species
GCGACUGUAGUCUAGCGGUAUGAUUUCUGCCUGCCACGCAGACGGCCCGGGUUCGAAUCCCGGCAGUCGCACCA